rnacentral:rRNA from 1 species
AUUGAACGCUGGCGGCAUGCUUUACACAUGCAAGUCGAACGGUAACAGGGUGCUUGCACCGCUGACGAGUGGCGAACGGGUGAGUAAUGCGUCGGAACGUGCCGAGUAGUGGGGGAUAACGCGGCGAAAGUUGUGCUAAUACCGCAUACGUACUGGGGUAGAAACUGGGGGACCUUCGUGCCUCACUCUAUUCGAGCGGCCGACGUCUAAUUAGCUAGUAGGUGGGGAAAAGGCUCACCUAGGCGACGAUCAGUAGGGGGUCUGAGAUGGAUGAUCCGCCACAAUGGGACUGAGACACGGCCCAGACUCCUACGGGAGGCAGCAGUGGGGAAUUUUGGACAAUGGGCGAAAGCCUGAUCCAGCCAUGCCGCGUGUCUGAAGAAGGCCUUCGGGUUGUAAAGGACUUUUGUCAGGGAGGAAAUCCCUAGUGCUAAUAACACUGGGGGAUGACAGUACCUGAAGAAUAAGCACCGGCUAACUACGUGCCAGCAGCCGCCGUAAUAC